CAUUUAUUUAUUUACUUCCUCUACAGUUUUCCUGACUGCUACAUUUCAUAAGAAGGGAUUGUUUAUGAGGGUCAAGGAGCUGGAGGCCUGGGGAGGAGCUGGUGUUUCUGUUCAAGUUUGAGGGUCCUGGAGCUGGAGCCCAGGGGAGGAGCCAGUGCUGCCACUGAUGUCUUAGGGUCGUGGAGCUGAAGAUCCCAGAGGAGCCGGUGCUGCUAUUCUAGCUUGAGUUUCGUGGAGCUGGAGACCCAGGGAGAAGAUGGUGCUGCUGUUCUAAUUUAAGGAUCGUGAAACAGAAGACCCAGAAAGGAGCUGGUGCUGCCGCUGCUCAGAUCUGAGGGUGUUGGAGCUGGAGCCUGGGGGUGGAGCCAUUGCUGCCAUUGAAGUGUGAGAGUCAUUGAGCUGGAAGUCCAGGAAGCAGCUGGUGCUGCUGUUCUAGUUUGAGGGUUGUGGAGUGCAGACCCAGGCAGGAGCAACAUUGCUGUAGUUCGAGGGUCAGAAAGCUGGCGACCCAGGGAGGAGAGGUCUUGUUCUAGUUUGAUUUUCGUGGAGCUGCAGACCCAGGCAGGAGCAAUGUUGCUGUAGUUCGAGGGUCCGGUAGCUGGCAACCCGGGGAGGAGAAGUCUUGUUCGAGUUUGAGGGUCGUGGAGCUGCCGACCCAGGGAGGAGCAAUUUGGUUGUAAUUUGAGGGUCCAGAAGCUGGAGACCCAGGGAGGAGAGAGAUCUUGUUCUGGUCUGAGGGUUGUGGAGCCACAGACCCAGGGAGGAGCAAUUUUGUUGUAAUUUGAGGGUCAGGAAGCUGGCGACCCAGGGAGGAGAGGUCUUGUUCUGGUCUGAGGGUCCUGGAGCUACAGACCCAGGGAGGAGCAAUGUUGUUGUAAUUUGAGGGUUCGGUAGCUGGCACCCUGGGGAGGAGAAGUCUUGUUCUAGUUUGAGGGUGGUGGAGCUGCAGAGCCAGGGAGGAGCAGUGUUGUUGUAGUUUGAGGGUCAUGGAGGUACAGACCCAGGGAGGAGCCGUGUUGUUUUGAGUGUCGUGGAGCCGGAGAUCCACGGAGGAGCUGG
rnacentral:lncRNA from 10 species